rnacentral:rRNA from 1 species
AGCGAACGCUGGCGGCAGGCCUAACACAUGCAAGUCGAACGGAUCCUUCGGGAUUAGUGGCGGACGGGUGAGUAACACGUGGGAACGUGCCCUUUGGUUCGGAACAACUCAGGGAAACUUGAGCUAAUACCGGAUGUGCCCUUCGGGGGAAAGAUUUAUCGCCAUUGGAGCGGCCCCGGUCUUAUUAGCAAGUUGGUGAGGUAAAGGCUCACCAAGGCGACGAUCAGUAGCUGGUCUGAGAGGAUGAUCAGCCACAUUGGGACUGAGACACGGCCCAAACUCCUACGGGAGGCAGCAGUGGGGAAUCUUGCGCAAUGGGCGAAAGCCUGACGCAGCCAUGCCGCGUGAAUGAUGAAGGUCUUAGGAUUGUAAAAUUCUUUCACCGGGGACGAUAAUGACGGUACCCGGAGAAGAAGCCCCGGCUAACUUCGUGCCAGCCGCCGCGGUAA